rnacentral:tRNA from 2 species
UCCGGGAUCGUCCAAGGGCAGGACAACGGACUUUGAAUCCGUGAAUGGAGGUUCGAAUCCUCCUCCCGGAACCA